GGGUCAAAGAUGAGAACUCAUAUUGUCUCGAAGAGAGAUGAUGACCUAAAAUAGGAUUACACUAAGACCC
rnacentral:snoRNA from 1 species